GCUACAAGCAGCCAGGUGACCUCUCUUGCCUGUCUGUAUCUGGCCAGCCAGGAGGGAGCCCCCAGGCCCAGACUCAGAGGAGGGGCAAGGGGCUGUGGCAGCAAUAUCAGCAGGAGCAGGUGUUCUACAGCAAGUUGUGCAAGAAACCUCGUAUGUCAAAUAAUCAUCUAUGAUUUGAGAAGGAUACGUCCAUUAAGGCAAUCAUGCUGCGGCAGGAUUCCAGCGCAAACCCUUCUGUCUUCAGGUCUUUGUCUGAAAAAAAUAAUCCCAAAUGAAGAAACUGUACAAGUCAACGCUUCAUCAACUUUCAACUCCUUAUUGCUGUUUGCUCUGUCAGAAACAAAGAUGAUUGGCUAGAGAGACGAGGAAGAGGGCAAAGGGAAGAGAAGAGGAGUGGAAGUUACAUAAUAGAGGAGGGCAAAGUGUUUGAGAAAAUCCAUUCUGUGACCAUGCUCAUGCUGCAACAGCUCCCAUCCCAGAAAGGGCACCAAGUGUGGUAACAGCUGAGACUGCACCAAAGAUGGCUCUGAAGUUACUGUUCUUAUCAUGCUAAAAAGUGAUACUCAUGCUGUUAAUACUCCUUGUGCAAAAAUAGGUAUUAGUUCUCCUUGUACAGGAAAGCCAUUUAUGCAGUAAACACUUCCCGGUUUUAGGAGCAAAAAAGAGGCCAGCCAGGUUCUUUGUUGUACUUUUAAUUAGUGUGACCAGAUGUCCCUAUUUUAUAAGGACAGUCCUGAUAUUUGGGGCUUUGUCUUAUAUAGGCUCCUAUUACCUCCCCGGCCCCCAUUUCCCCCAUUCUGAUUUUUCACACUUGCUGUCUGGUCACCCUAACUUUAAUAGCCCUCACAUGGAAAGGGUGGCAGCACUGCAAUAGCAAUAAAGGCCACCUGUAUUACAAUAAUGCCCAUGCAGAAAAUGAGCUGAGUUGUUAGUACAGAAACAUUUUAACUUUGUACCGUGCAUGUGUUUGAUCCCUUCCCAGUACUGACUUGUGAGGCAUUCCGGCGCAGAGUGCAAUUGCUUUCUUUACUUUUCUUUAAUGCUUUCAAAGACAGAAAAGAUUGCUCUGCCCUUGCAAGACAUGCCAUAUAUAUUUUAUGUGCUCACCUGAUUUUGGAUGUUUUAUGGUCUAGGAUGUAAAUGGUAAUUCGCAAAUAACAGUCCAAAUAGGAGUUUACCGAAUUAAUCCUUAUAACUUGUUUAAAUGGGGUUUAUUUUUGCAUCCUCCUAAUGGAAAAAUGGCAUAAUCCUCACACCCCUACCUAAUUUCAAGGUAGAGGAUACUUUGUAGCUAAGUGUGUUGUAAGGGAUAGGUGGGAGAAACCCAUAGCUUACUAGAGAAGGGGGGUGGCAGCUGGGUUAGACAGCUGGCGGGAGUUUGGGGAGCAGGAAUUUGUGGCAGGAAGAGUGGCAGCAUUUGACAGUAGAAAGUGGAUACUAGGACAUUUGUCUGGAGCAGGAUUGUGUUGUGCUGGAAAGGGAGAUAGGGUGGAGAAGGGUCUGGAGCUGGGAGUGAAGGAGAAGGUUCGUGGCGUGGUGGGGUAACAGGUCAGAAACAAGACCCAAUUCCCAUGAGCUACCGGACACCUUCAACUGCCACUGAAAACAAUGGGAGUCCUGGGUGAUCAGCAUCUGGAUCAGGCCUAUAGGGAUGGAAAGUUUCAGAGGUGCCAGCUUCUCUGUGUGAGCUGAGUACGCUAUCCUGCAAAGCUCUUAUUAGCUAUAUACAGUAGGAAGACAAAGCCAUCACUGCCUAUGGUAGAGUGUAAUUGCAGAAAGCUGCAGAAAACUAGCUCUAACACCAAUCAAGUUCUCAUAUGCAGAAAAACACUCUGACAUUGGCAAAAAACUCAAGCUUCUGUGAUAUCAUCAGGCAUUUAACAACAGUACUGUUUACAGCAGCACCACUUUAAUACAGCUGCAUGCUCAUUAUCCUACUCAAGCCCAGCACUUUUCAGGUCUAUUGAAGCAGAGACCCACCUUGCCUUUUUUCUUUUUCUGAACCAAAAAAAAAAAAGCGAUAUUUAGUAAACAUAGUUGUAGAUUUAUACAAAUUGUAUAAAGUUACACUGUGCAAUGUCAUUCUUGCUCUCUGUUUAUUUUUGCCAUUUAGCUUCAUUCAAACAUCUUUCACAUCUGAGCUCCAUGGAGUCAAAUAUAGGAAGGUAGGAAUUGCCAUACUGGAUCUGAUCAGUGGGUUCAUCUCAUCCACUGCGCUGCCCGAAUUGAGAAAC